CCUUUCUUCCAGCUGCCAUUGUCUUGUUUGUGGGGCUCGUCGUAGGAAUUGGACUUGUAGUAGCGGCAAAUGGUUCAAGGAUGAGAAUGGGUGCAAGGAGGAACCGCGCGGGAUCUUUUGACUUCGCUUUUGAAGCUGGGGGAAAUGAACAGGCCCUCUCUCCAAGCAUCUGCCCAAGGAAUGCUGUCCAGAGGAGGAACAGAUGACCACAGCACAAGAACGAAAGCACAUUUCCCUCCUUCCUUACAAGCUGCCGUAUUCGUGUCUUCCCACAGCAAUUGCUAGAAAUCCGCCACUGA